UAACGAAGCAAAUGGCUGAAGACUUUCAAUCUCCUGUAUUAAAGAAAGUAGAAGUGUGAAAAAUGGAAGUUGCCGAAAUGCUGGCUAAAGGAUACGACUUUGGAGCAGAGGCAUGUGACAUUAAGUUCAGGCAAUUAAAACACAGAUACAAAACAAUAGUGGAUAAAAAGAAGAUGACUGGGAGUGGUGCCAGCAGCUGGGUCUUCUUCUUCUCAAUGGAGGACCUCCUGGCUGAUGAUCCCAGUGUGGAGCCGGUCCAGACUGUGUCAUCAUUUGCUGGAUCUUCAUCAGACCCAGUUGGCCCUGGACCAUCAACUUCACAACCAUCAACUUCACAACCUAAGCUAUCAGCAGAACGUGGCAAAAAGAGAAAGCACAAGUCCACAUCUGAAGCACCCCAGUGGUUUGAGCAGCAUGUCACUGAGCAGAUGUCGGAACUCAUGGUCCUGCAAAAACAAGCAAUGGAAGUGGCGAGUGAAAGGAAUGGCAUCUUAAAAUAAUUUGUUACUGCUUUAACAAAGAAAAAAUAGGAACUUAUUACCACGUUUUGCUGACGGCUUAGGUUCUAUUUUGUUUGUUUAAUGGCAUGAUGUAUGGCAUGAUGUAGUCUGUGCUGCAAGGAAAUAAAUGCAAUCUUG